CCUUAUGAGGUUUUGGGGACAAAGAACUUGUCUCCGCCGCAGCUACCAUGGUUGUUGAUGACCAUGUCGAGGAUCUUUACAGGGUGGCCCUUUCUGUCCAGGCUUAGAUAUGUAGAGGGCUGCAAAUAUAAGAAUGUAGAACUUUGUUAUUUGACUUAUUUCUGGAUGCUACAAAAAUAGUUAGCGAUGAACCUAUCUCAGCAUCCAGGUGCAUGGAUGAAGCCGCACUUGGUUUUCGAGAAGAUACGAGGAUAAGGAGCUGCCUUAUAUUACCAGGAUAAAUUGUCGGACUGGCUUUGACAACGGAUGGGUCUGGGUCUUCCAUGUUACUAUUAGUGACAUUGGUUUUAUGAAGGCAAGCUUGAGAUUUGAGACAAUUGUGCCCAAUAUCUACUCACAUCGUCAUGAGUUUGUUUCAUUAAUG